rnacentral:rRNA from 1 species
AUACGGAGGAUCCGAGCGUUAUCCGGAUUUAUUGGGUUUAAAGGGUGCGCAGGCGGCCAUUUAAGUCAGCGGUUAAAUCGUGGGGCUCAACCCCAUUCUGCCGUUGAUACUGGGUGGCUUGAUUGCGGUCGAGGUUGGCGGAAUUCGUUGUGUAGCGGUGAAAUGCAUAGAUAUGACGAAGAACACCGAUUGCGUAGGCAGCUGACCAGACCGCAAAUGACGCUCAUGCACGAAAGUGCGGGGAUCGAACAGGAUUAGAUACCCUGGUGGUCCGCACAGUAAACGAUGAAUACUUGUUUUCGGCGAUAUAAUGUCGGAGGCAAAGCGAAAGCGAUAAGUAUUCCACCUGGGGAGUACGCCGGCAACGGUGAAACUCAAAUGAAUUGGCGGGG